UCUGCUGAUGGGGAUGAGAGGCAUCUAACU
rnacentral:piRNA from 1 species